rnacentral:misc_RNA from 1 species
UACGAGUGCCUCAAGCGUUAUCCGGAAUCAUUGGGCGUAAAGGGUGUGUAGGUGGUUGUGUUAGUCUUGUGUUAAAUUCUUCGGCUUAACCGGGGGCAUGCAUGGGAAACGGCACAACUUGAGGAUGCGAGGGGUCUGUGGAACUCAUAGUGUAGCGGUGAAAUGCGUUGAUAUUAUGGGGAACACCAAAAGCGAAGGCAACAGACUGGAGCACUCCUGACACUGAGACACUAAAGCGUGGGUAGCGAAUGGG